GAUGUUUUGUUUUCAGGUUGCUUACACUGUCUUUCAGUAUUUAAAAAUGCUGCAGAAGCUAGGCCCAGAAAAAAGGUAAUAAACACUUCCUGGAAUGAGGCCAGGAGCCAGUCCUGGUAUAUUUGAGGCUUCAGGCUGCCGGUAGACAUGCUUUAGUCUUGCCUUGAUGGUUUUUCAGGCAUUUUCUGCUCUGUUUCCUUUAUUGGCUCCAUAUCCUUAUCCCUCUACAUGUGAGUGUACACUAAGGCUUUACACAUAUGUGGCCAGUCCCUUUAUUUUCAUGCUUCUCUUUUAUUGUUGAUGCUUCUAUUGAGAAUUUUUUAAACUUUUAUUCUAGGUUCAGGGGUAUAUGUGCAGGUUUGUUGUACAGAUUAUUUUGUCACCCAGGUACUAAGCCUACUACCCAAUAGUUAUCUUUUCUGAUCCUUUCCCUCCUCCCGCCCUUCUCCCUCAAGUAGGCAGAAAUUUUAAUGUAUCAAGUAGGCAGAAAUUUUAAUGUAUCUUCUAAUUAUAGUUUUCUCCUUCACAGAAUUUUUGAAGAGAUUCAGAAAAUUGAGGAUAAUGAAUUUCAUUACCAAGAACAGACAGAUCCAGUUGAGUAUGUGGAAAACAUGUGUGAGAACAUGCAGCUGUACCCAUUGCAAGACAUUCUCACUGGAGAUCAGCUUCUUUUUGAAUACAAGCCAGAAGUCAUUGGUGAAGCCUUGAAUCAGCUAGUUCCUCAAAAAGCAAAUCUUGUUUUACUGUCUGGUGCUAAUGAGGGAAAAUGUGACCUCAAGGAGAAAUGGUUUGGAACUCAGUAU
rnacentral:sRNA from 1 species